rnacentral:rRNA from 1 species
GACGUAGGGCGCGAGCGUUGUCCGGACUUAUUGGGCGUAAAGAGCUCGUAGGCGGCUCGAUGCGUCGGCUGUGAAAACCCGCAGCUCAACUGUGGGCUUGCAGCUGAUACGGGCGGGCUGGGAUUCGGUAGGGGAGACUGGAAUUCCUGGUGUAGCGGUGAAAUGCGCAGAUAUCAGGAGGAACACCGGUGGCGAAGGCGGGUCUCUGGGCCGAUAUCGACGCUGAGGAGCGAAAGCGUGGGGAGCGAACAGG